rnacentral:tRNA from 1 species
UGCGGGAAUGGAGCAAAGGUGGCUCAACGGUCUCAUAAGCCGUCAAUCGGACAGGUUCGAUUCCUGCUCCCGCAACCA